CGCUGCGCCGCCGCCUCCUGCGGCCGCCCGCGCUGUCGCCUCCACGUCAGCCUCGGCGGGAGGAAGGGGAGGAGGAGCCGGGCCGGGCGGCCGCAGCCACAGCCCCGCCGGCUCGCCCGGCGCAGCCCGGACCCCUCCGGCCGCCCCGGCCCGCCCCGGGCUCUAGGGAAGGGGCGGCCGGGUCUCAGCCCGGAGGAAGCGGAAAGAAGGUCAUCCCUGAACUGAGCAUCUAGGAUUAACUCAGCUCCAAGCUCCUGUUCUUAACAGCCUGAUGUCUCAUGCUAAGAAGCAGGUCACGGCAUUUAUCUAAAGAUGCGCCUCUCCCAGCGGGUCACAGCCUCUGCAGCCUGGCCAUGACCAUGACAGUGACAGCAAAGAGGACUGUUCAUAGUGUGGGGGUAGCCUCUCUGGACCAGGCCUCCCUCUGCAACUGGAACUGCAGUGACACAGGAGAUUCAAGACAGCAGAGACCGCCAGGCCAAGGGUCUCACUGUCCCUUCAUCCCAUUAGACAGAUAUUCUCGUUUUCUGCCAAAUCUGCGAUUCCUUUCAAUGUCCAAACAGCUGUGGGCCCCCGAGCUGCUGCAUGCGGCUUGCCUGGUCUGGAGGAAGACAAAGAGGUGGGUAGCUGCAGCCCACAGCCUGGGUUUGAAACAGGCAUGUUUGAGCGAGUGUUUCAAAGGAUGGCAGUGAUCUGCUCAUUUUUAUUACAUUCGUGGGGCGGAAUUUGUCAGCCCUUGGUGACACCCAUUAUAAUGCUUUGACCUCAUUCAGUCACCAAAGGGCAGAUUUCUCUUUGUUCUCUAACAGAAACACAACAUGGCAAGUAAACGUGAGUUCUAAAACGAGACUGUCACACGGGGUAUUUAUGAGCCUAUCAUGUCUCCGCUGUUGCACUGAGAAGCUCACCUUUGGAGAAGGAGGCAUAUAUGUGCCCCUUAUGGGCCCUCGUGUGACACAGUGUUGCUAUUUAUGAAGCCUGUCUAUUCCCAUGAGACAAGAGGAGUAAUCUUAAGGUGAUAUAAGAGAGACUUAGGAGGCUUUCCUUUAGCAUUAUAGGGUCAUUAAUUCACUUGACAAACAAUUGUGUUUUUAUUUUUAAAUUAAAAAAAAAAAUUUAAAUCCUCACCCUAUUGAUUUUAGAGAGAGGGGAAGGGAGAGAGAGAGAGAAACAUCAAUUGGUUGCCUCCUGUACAAGCCCCAACUGGGAAUCAAACCUACAACCUAGGUAUGUGCCCCGACCCGUAAUGGAACCCGCAACCUUUCGGUGAAGAGGACGACACUCCAACCAACUGAGCCAAAGCACAACAAACGUUUCUUGAGCAUUUGUACGCUGAGCUGGGCCAUGGGGAUGACAACCAGGCUUGGACCUGGCUCUGUCCUCGAGGCUCUUCAUCAAGCAGCUGAGCUCUACAGGAACACAGAGAAAUGCUCCAGGACCAGCCUCUUCAGCUAGGAUGUCACCCAGGCUUCAAGGGCCAGGAAUGGAUCUUGGGAGCUGGGUCCAUUUGGUACACUUAAAAUGGUUAAAAUGGCAAAUGUUAUGUUAUCUCUAUUUUUCCAUAAUAAAAAAAUAGUAAAAGAAAAAACUUUGAGAGAAAAGAAAAACACUCAGAAACUGAAAAACCAGGUAGGUCCAUGUGGAAAGCUGAGACGGGGCAAGAUCAAAGACACAGAGGCACAGAAAGCACCCUUUGGCCAGUUUACUCACAGAUGCCAGAACGUUUAGAAACGAGGAAGCAAUGACCCCUUUCCAAAGUGAAGGGAGGAGAAAUUGGACAAGAACUUUAGAAAGGGGGCCUAGGGAGAAGCAGGGAGUGUGCAAGCUGAGACGUCUUCACCUCUCUGUGACUUAUCCUCAUCUAUACCAUGAGCAGAUUGGGCCCGAUGACCUUGAAGAUCGGUGACUAUGAAAUAAAAGCAGAAUUUUCCAUUUGAAUGGAACUCUGUACAAAAGGUUAGUGAAGGUGAUACUCAUAUCAUCCAAGAGAGCUUACAGAGCGUUCGAAGUGUGAGGAAUCUUAGCAGUCUGGAUCCUUAUUAUACAAGAGAAGAAACAGGCCCAGAGUGGUAAGGUCACAGAGCUUGUAGGGACAGAGCUGUGGCGAGAGCCCAGACUUUGGAUUCCCGUGCCCUGCCUCUUUCACAAUGCUUACAGCUUGGCAAUAUUUGAGGUUCCUAAGAGCAGGAUUCUGGUUGUCUAUUGCUAGUCAAUAAACUUCCCCAAACCAAUGGCUUAAAUAUUAAUUUAUCACUGUCUCUUGUGGUUUUGUGGGUUGACUGGGCUCAGGUGGAGUCUCCCAGGUAGAAGUCAGAUGGAGGCUGGGGCUGCGGUCCUCUGAAGACAUGUCUGGGCUGGAUGUCCCAGUUGGCUCGCUCACAUGGCUAGUAG